CCUUCCGACAGCAACUGCAGAGGACAUAGAGGGUUGGAGAAAUCAACAAAUGUCAGGGCUACGUGCAGGAGAAGUCGACAUCUAUCUGGUCUUUGGAAGACUGAAGUCAAAAACAGACACACCUCAAGAUGAGACAUUAGUUGGUUCUGUCCCUGUGUGCCUCACCAGUCCAGCACAGCUCCCAGCAGAUCCUCAAAAAAGUUAUACAGCUGCACCAUUGAGAGCAUCUUGACUGGCUGCAUCACCGCUUGGUACGGAAACUGCAAGGCACCCGAACGAACACAAGACGCAAUAGAGGGUGGCGAGUACAGCCCAGUACACCACUGGGGCCGAGCUCCCUGCCAUCCAGGACCUCUAUACCCAGCGGUGACAGAGGAAGGCCCCCAAAACAUUGUCAAAGACUGCAGCCACCCAAGCACGGCAAGCAGUACCAGUGUACCAAGUCGGGAACCAAGAGGACCAUGAACAGCUUCUACCCCCAAGCAAUAAGACUGCUAAACCAGGCUGCUAAACCAGGCUGCUAAAUAGAUACCCGGACUACCUGCAUUUACUUAACUCUCUUGCACCGACUCACACUGGUCUCUACUCACACGCAUACUGACGCCACACUCACCGUAUACGCUUCUGCUACAGCUCAGUCUAUUAUCUAUCCUGUUGCCUACUCAUUUUACCCCUACCUAUAUGUACAUAGCUACCUCAAUAACCUCGUAACCUUGAACAUCAACUUGGUGCUGGUACUCCCUGUAUAUAGCCAUGUUAUCUUUACUAGUUGUUAUUCGUUAUUCACUGUCUAUUUAUUUCUUGCGUCACUAUUUUUAUUUUCUUUAACUCUGCAUUGUUGGAAAAGGACCUGUUAGUAAGCAUUUCACUUGUUAGUCUAAAAAUGUGACAUAACAUUUGACUUUCAUUUGACUACAAACAAAAUGCGUUGAGACUGUAAACAAGACAUUCAGACAGCUUCAUAAAUAUAGGCAGCUGUUGUUUACAUUGUCAACUGCACUGCUGCAUCUCCAGUUCUACAACUUUAGCGCAACAACCCACUUCGGAGGUAGUUUGUGAAAAGUCUAGACUUGGUAGAUGUGGAAAUAAGAUUAAGCUUACUUUUAAAAAAUCUUAGAAUAGGAACACUCUAAAUAGAAUGUUAUGUUGAAAACAUAGUUCAGUAGAGAAGUUGACACCUAUUCAUUUACCAUUCAAACGUUUGGACACCUACUCAUUCCAGUUUUUUAUUUAUUUUUUUAAUUAACGAUUUUCUACAUUGUAGAAUAAUAGUGAAGACAUAAAAACUAUGAAAUAACAUAUGGAAUCAUGUAGUAACCAAAAAAGUGUUAAAAAAUAAAAAUAUUUGAUAUUUUUCAAAGUAUUCACCCUUUGGCUUGACAUUUUUGCACACUUGGCAUUUUGUCAACCAGCUUCAUGAGGUAGUCACUCGGAAUGCAUUUCAAUUAACAGGUGUGCAUUGUUAAUUUGUGGAAUUUCUUUCCUUCUUAAUGCAUUUGAGCCAAUCAGUUGUGUUGUGACAAGGUAUGGGUGGUAUACAGAAGAUAGCCCUACUUGGUAAAAGAUCAAGUCCAUAUUAUGGAAAGAACAGCUCAAAUAACCAAAGAGAAAAGACAGUACAUUAUUACUUUAAGACAUGAAGGUCAGUCAAUCUGGAACACUUCAAGGACUUUCAAAUGCAGUCGCAAAAACCAUCAAGCGCUAUGAUGAAACUGGCUCUCAUGAGGACCACCACAGGAAAGGAAGACCCAGAGUUACCUCUGCUGAGGAGGAUAAGUUCAUUAGAGUUAACUGCACCUCCAAUUGUAGCCAAAAUAACUGCUUCACAGUUGUUUUAUUUUAUUUAAAAUCUUUACUUGACUAGGCAAGUCAGUUAAGAACAAAUUCUUACUUACAAUGACUGCAUGAAUCAGGCCUUCGUGGUUGAAUUGCUGCAAAGAAACCACUACUAAAGGACACCAAUAAGAAGAGACUUUCUUAGGCCAAGUAACAUGAACAAUGGACAUUAGACCGGUGGAAAUAUGUCCUUUGCUCUGAUGAGUCCAAAUUUUAGAUUUUUGGUUCCAGAUGCCUUGUCUUUGUGAGAUGCAGAGUAGGUGAUGAUCUCCGCAUGUGUGGUUCCCACCAUGAAGCAUGGAAGUGUGAUGUGCUUUGCUGGAGACACUGUUGGUGAUUUUAUUUAGAAUUCAAGGCACACUUAACCAGCAUUGCCACACCAUCCCAUCUGGUUUGCACUUACUGGGACUAU